GUAUUUGGAAUUAUUCUGCAGUCCGGUGUUCUUGUAUGGGCCGCCAUUGCAAGAUACUACUACAAAUUCUUGAGGGAUGACUUGCAAGAUGUCUACGCGGUCCCAAUGACCUUCCUCGGAACUAUCCUGCUAUGUACUGGAAUAGCGCUUUGCGCCUGCUUAGUUGAAAAAGUCACUAAGGAGCGGGUGUUUGAAAGGGAGUUUCCUAGUGCAUCUCGAAUAUACUGGGUUCAGCCUGGUACUCAAUUUGUAGGCGAUCAGGCCUUCGACUCGUUCGCAUAUACUCAUCGCAAAGGCAAACUUUCCAAGUAUAUAACGUCUUGGAAAGAGAAGAGAAAAGAGCCCC
rnacentral:sRNA from 1 species